UAAUGACUGUCUAANGAAUGUUANUACNAAAUUAUUAAGUUGGUGCAAAUGCCAACGGAUUUAAAAAAGACGAGAAGACCCUAGAAACUUAUAGUUGAUUUUGCUGGGGCGGCAGAAUUGCAUAUAACCAAUUUAAUUUUACGUGGAGCGACGCAGAAAGAAAAAGUUACUCUAGGGAUAACAGCAUAAUUUUAAUAGUUUGUGACCUCGAUGUUGGACUAGGGAUACUACCUUCUAGAAGAAGGUAGUUAUGGCUCUGUUCGAGCUCUUAGCCCCUACGUGAUCUGAGUUCAAACCGGACGUCNC
rnacentral:rRNA from 1 species